rnacentral:rRNA from 1 species
GAUGAACGCUGGCGGCGUGCCUAAUACAUGCAAGUCGAGCGAACGGACGAGAAGCUUGCUUCUCUGAUGUUAGCGGCGGACGGGUGAGUAACACGUGGAUAACCUACCUAUAAGACUGGGAUAACUUCGGGAAACCGGAGCUAAUACCGGAUAAUAUUUUGAACCGCAUGGUUCAAAAGUGAAAGACGGUCUUGCUGUCACUUAUAGAUGGAUCCGCGCCGCAUUAGCUAGUUGGUAAGGUAACGGCUUACCAAGGCAACGAUGCAUAGCCGACCUGAGAGGGUGAUCGGCCACACUGGAACUGAGACACGGUCCAGACUCCUACGGGAGGCAGCAGCAGGGAAUCUUCCGCAAUGGGCGAAAGCCUGACGGAGCAACGCCGCGUGAGUGAUGAAGGUCUUCGGAUCGUAAAACUCUGUUAUUAGGGAAGAACAUAUGUGUAAGUAACUGUGCACAUCUUGACGGUACCUAAUCAGAAAGCCACGGCUAACUACGUG